rnacentral:rRNA from 1 species
CCCUGACUCCUUGUGAGCACGGGCGCAGUUAUUAGAUCAAAAACCAAUCGGCCGUACUUUCGAGUAUGGUCGCUCGUUUGGUGACUCUGAGUAACCACAGCAAACCGUAUGGCCUCGUGCUCGACGGUCUGUCGAUCAAGCAACUGCCUUAUCAGCUUGUUGUUAGGUUAUAUGCCUAACAAGGCGUCAACGGGUAACGAACGAUCGGGGUCGGACAUCGGAGAGGGAGCCUGAGAAACGGCUACCACUUCCAAGGAAGGCAGCAGGCGCGCAAAUUACCCACUCCCGGAACGGGGAGGUAGUGACGAGAUGUAUCGAUGCGGGGCAAAUUUUGCCUUCGAAAUCGGAAUGAGUACACUUUAAAUCCUUUAACGAGGACCUAUUGGAGGGCAAGUCUGGUGCCAGCAGCCGCGGUAAUUCCAGCUCCAAUAGCGUAUAUUAAUGCUGCUGCGGUUAAAAAGCUCGUAGUCGGACUUGGGUUUUCGACGGGCAACGAGUGCGGCCUGUGCUGUACUUAGUUUGCUAUACGUGUCGCUUCGGCGGCACUGCCGGUUCGGUACCGCUUCAUUGUAGGCGUGCCGCGCCGGUCGUCGAGACCACGGGCUGAACCUAGCGGUAUGCUCUUUAUUGAGUGUAUUGUUAGUUCAGUGCGUUUACUUUGAAAAAAUUGGAGUGCUCAAAGCAGGCGUACAGUUGCUUUAUGCAGCCUGAACAGUGGUGCAUGGAAUAAUAGAAUAGGACCUCGGUUCUAUUUUGUUGGUUUUAAGAAUUCGAGGUAAUGAUUAAGAGGGACAGACGGGGACAUUUGUAUUGCAACGUUAGAGG